UACGAAGGGUGCAAGCGUUAAUCGGAAUUACUGGGCGUAAAGCGUGCGUAGGCGGUUUGUUAAGUCCGUUGUGAAAGCCCUGGGCUCAACCUGGGAAUUGCAGUGGAUACUGGCAAGCUAGAGUCAGGUAGAGGGUGGUGGAAUUCCCGGUGUAGCGGUGAAAUGCGUAGAGAUCGGGAGGAAUAUCUGUGGCGAAGGCGGCCACCUGGACCAUGACUGACGCUGAGGCACGAAAGCGUGGGGAGCAAACAGGG
rnacentral:rRNA from 1 species